rnacentral:rRNA from 1 species
AGAAAGCACCCUUCGGGGUGUGAGUAAAGCGGCGAACGGGUGAGUAACACGUGGGUAAUCUGCCUAGGAGCGGGGGAUAACCUGGGGAAACUCGGGCUAAUACCGCAUACGUCUUCGGGGUUGCGGCCUCGAAGGGAAAGCUGGCCUCUACACGUAAGCUGGCACUCCUAGAGGAGCCCGCGGUCGAUUAGCUCGAUGGUGGGGUAACGGCCUACCAUGGCGACGAUCGAUAGCCGGCCUGAGAGGGUGAUCGGCCACACUGGGACUGAGACACGGCCCAGACUCCUACGGGAGGCAGCAGUGGGGAAUAUUGGACAAUGGGGGAAACCCUGAUCCAGCAACGCCGCGUGGAGGAUGAAGGCCUUCGGGUCGUAAACUCCUGUCAGAUGGGACGAAAUCGCGUCGCUCAAUAGGCGGCGCGUCUGACGGUACCAUCAGAGGAAGCCCCGGCUAACUCCGUGCCAGCAGCCGCGGUAAUACGGAGGGGGCGAGCGUUAUUCGGAAUUACUGGGCGUAAAGGGCGCGUAGGCGGCCUGGUAAGUCGAAAGUGAAAUCCCUCGGCUCAACCGAGGAACUGCUUUCGAAACUGCUGGGCUAGAGGCUGGGAGGGGGCAGUGGAA